CAAUUAGCUUUGACUCCAAAAAAGAAAAAAAAAAAAAAAAACAUAAACCAUAAACCUCCCUCCUUUAAACGUACAAUUUUCUCCGGAAAAAUACAGUAUGGCGGCGGCGGCGGUGGUUAAAGGGGCGGUGCUGCCACGGCCAUUGACAUUUGUUACCGGAAAUGCAAAGAAAUUGGAGGAAGUUAGGGCAAUUCUUGGACAAUCUAUUCCCUUUCAGUCCCUUAAACUUGACUUGCCAGAACUUCAAGGUGAGCCUGAAGAUAUAUCCAAAGAAAAAGCAAGAAUUGCUGCCAAAGAGGUGAAUGGACCAGUGCUAGUUGAGGAUACUUGUCUUUGCUUCAACGCCCUUAAGGGUCUCCCAGGGCCUUACAUCAAGUGGUUUCUGCAAAAGAUUGGUCAUGAAGGUCUAAAUAACUUAUUAAUGGCUUAUGAGGAUAAAACAGCAUAUGCUAUGUGUAUCUUUUCGCUUGCUCUUGGUCCAAAUACAGAGCCAAUGACUUUUGUAGGAAAAACGCUGGGAAGGAUAGUGCCAGCAAGGGGACCCAAUGAUUUCGGAUGGGAUCCGAUAUUUGAACCUCAUGGCUAUGACCAAACUUACGCUGAGAUGCCCAAGGAAGAAAAAAACAAGAUCUCCCACCGUGGUAAAGCUCUUGAACUAGUGAAGUCACACUUCGCUGAGGCUCGGUACACUUUCCAGACGGACUCCACUGCCUAAGACUAGGGCGUACGCCUCUGUUGUGACAUAAUCUUCGUGUUCUUGCUCAAGAGCUAUAAUUGAUGACAGUGGUUCAGAGAAGGGCCGGAUCACAAGUGUUUGUUUUAUGCAGUCUCAUCAUGUAUUUCUGCAAAAAGGUUGUCUCCACAUAAGUUGUUUGGACUCUUCACUUUUGAUGCUGCGCCCGUGUUGGAUUCUCCAAAAAUACACUAGUUGUGGACAAUUCGGCACGCACCCGUUGACAUUUUUUAAGAGUCCGAGCAACAUAGGUUUCCACGAUUUGAACCUCUGAUCACAUGACAACAACUUUACCUAUUUCUACAAGGCUCCCCUUAAUCAAUAGAAUAUGUUUUAUCUUAAUAUUUCAGAGAUAAUAUAUUUUAUUUUAUCCUAAAUGACAUAGCAUUAUCUCUCCAACAAUGUUGCUACUACUGUCCCAACUAUCAGGUGAUUUGUCAAAAUUACAGGAAGUUAAAGAAAAGUAACCCCAUGUGACAACUGACAAAAGAUCAUUUUCAUCAUUAAAUAUUAGAUUAUGCUUAAGUGGAGUGAUUUAGUGCAUUUACGAAAUCACAAGGUAAGUAAAUCUAACAAAGUUUUAACGGUAUCAUUACUUCAAAAGACAAACUCAUUAGUUAUUCAUUACUAAAGUUGGUUACUGCACUCUUUAACAAUCUUAAGCACAUGCUGCCACCAUUAUGGCAACUACCAGCAGGAUGAAAAGCAAAACUUGGACUAGUGUGAUUGAUAUCAAAUUAUACUAUAUGAUAUAAGCACAACAAAACGAGGCACAACCAAGAUGAUAUUAAUGUUUGCAUUGACAAAGACAAAGCAAGAAAGUAAAAGGUAACAAUCAUAAAGGUACUAAAACUUUGCAUCAUUUCAAACAGAAAGGUUCUUUUUUCUUCUUUCCCUUCCAAUAACAUUUGUUUGACAAUUCACACUAUGUAGCUUGUAUGACUCAAAAAGCUAAAGAAAAAACUUACAAAAUCAUUCACUCCUAUAGUAAAAAAGGGAAAAACACAAUAGCCAAAGCACAAUAUUGCAGACUAAAGACUCAAGACAGCAUCACAAAGAUAGAAUGGGGAUCGACAAAGGGUUUGGCUGAGGACUCUCGAGAUUGGGAAAAAAAAAAAAAAAGAUAUUGGGCAUGGACAACGCUUCUGCGCCUGGUUCAA